rnacentral:lncRNA from 1 species
GGGGUCCUUUGGCUGUAGGUCUUUGUGCCCAUGGAGGGGUCCUGCUGCUGCUGCUGGGGGGGGGGGGGGGCUGCUGUGAGUCUUGAUGCUUUGGAGAGGGUGGGAGGUAAUUUCCAUGGGGCUUUGCCCCACAGAGGGGGAUGCAGUGGUCAUAUGAAGUGUCAGUUGUGGUGCUUUUGUCCUUUUGGGGGCCGAUGGGGUGUCAUGUUCAGGUUGGAUAUUAGGGAGUAUCUGUUCUCUCAAAGAGUGGGCAGUCAUUGGCACAAGGAGGUAGUAGGGUCACCAUCCGUGGAGGUAUUCAAGGUAGGUAGAGAUGUCCAUGCUGCUCUGCUCUCCUCCUGGAGCAGUCUGUGUGUUCAAUCAUGGCUGGGGCUUGCUCAUGCCCUCCUUUUCCACCCUCACUUUCCACCACUAUAAGCAACGUGUGAACCUUGCUGGUACAGAGUUUCUAUUCCCAGCUGGACCAAGAGGCAGAAGCCAGCAGAGCCUGUGCUCCAGGGGCAGGGCUGCGGUCUCGCUGGCAGGAGUAGCCUUGCUUGAAAGAUUGUGGUUUUAUUGAGUCAAUAAGGACUUUGAUAAAAGCAGGCACGUUCACAAUUAGCACUCAAAGCGCAUCAUGUCUGCUGUAUGAUGCCUCUGUCUGCUUGGCAGGGCUCUGCUUGUCUUUGUUUGCUCUGGGAGUUUGUUUUACUAUGCUAUUUUAGCCUUGAUGAAGCAGCACAACAACCCUGUGAUACUGAGUGGCGCAUUCCAGCCUUGCUGUGGGCAUUGCACCUUGUCCUCCUGUGCCCUUUCCUUACCUGGUGACCCUGGGUCUGUCACUGCUGGUUUUCCUUUUGGGUACAGCCAGAAAACUUCUGCAACAGUGUAAAAUGCUCCUAAGGAGAGUGCAGAGUGGGGGGUGUGUGAAUGGAUGUCAAUACAAAAUGUCAGGAGAGCAGCUUAGCUUUUGCUGCGUGGCUUUCUUUGCAUCCUGUGUUAAACCUCAGCCAUGUAACUUGAGUACGUACCCACAGCUGGAAAGAGGUGGGACCAGCCAAAAAGGGGAUGCACAGCCAGAAGCAUACCUGUGCUACAGGAGUCCCUCUGUUCCUCUUGCUGCUUUGGCCAGCAUGUUAUAGAUUUGGAGAAAAGCCUGGAGGAGGCAACAAGGGAAGGAGCUGCGCUCCCAGCAGUGAUGGUUGGUUUUCCUGGAGCAGAAGCACUUUCUGCAAGGUUGCUUCCUCCAGCUCUUGCUCCUCCUGUGGCUGCCAGGAGUGCAGAUGCAGGAGGUUGUACUGUUUGGGUAUGCACCUUUGGAUAUAACUUAAGCCAUGGGACAGAAAGGUUUCUCUGCUGUACCAAAUUCACCCCCUUGCCUGACAGUGCUGAGGCUUCCCCAGGAGAUGCUGCUCACAGUGGUCAGAAAGCCAAACAGAUCCUAAGUGAGUCUGCCCCAACAUUACCUCCUGCUCAUCAGGUUGGUGCAGAGGACUGAUAGCUCUGGCAGAUCGGAGGGCUUGUUAUCAGAAAUAAAGCUUGUUUUAAGGCUGCAGAGCAAUGCAUGCCUUGACCUUCCUGUCUGAAUGCUGAAUGCCUUUGGCCAAAACCAGGUGCUCUGUUACUGUUCAGCGCUGAAUGCCCUCAGCCAGGCUCUGCUGUUCGGGGCUGCAAACCUUGCAGUUGGAUGCCAGAAGUCACAAUCUGCUUCUUCAAAGCCAGCCUGCAAAUCACUUUCUGGCGAGCUUCUAUAAAACAAGCAACCCAAACAACUCGCCCUUGUGCAGGCUUUGUGGUGUGUGGUGCCUGGAGCUGGAUGCAGAAGAGAGGGGAAGGAUGCUUCGUGUGUUGCAUGCUGCGCUGGUAUUGCUGCUUCUUGUGCAUCUCGAUGAGCUGCAUGCAGUCUUUGCAGCUCCUGGGACUCAUUUCUGGGGGCUGCCACAGUGCCAGGAGCAGCUGCAGAAAGGGAAACUGAAUGAGGGCAGAGCGCUGCGGCUUGGUGGUGGUGCCAGCUUCCAUGGCUGCUCGCAGUGUUUUGGGUUCCAUUCCACCAAUCCUUGGUGUCCCAAGGUUCCUGCAGGCUUUCCUGGCCCAGUGUUAUCUUUGCUGGGGGUGAUUUAUGCCCCAGGGGCGGGGGGAGAUAGG